CCUAGAGUUGUAGGCUUUGCCUGCUAUCUCUUACCCAUGUCUUUUGAGUACCUUCGUUUCCUCGGCGGGUCCGCCCGCCGAUUGGACAAUUUAAACCAUAUUGCAGUUGCAAUCAGCGUCUGAAAAACCUUAAUAGUUA
rnacentral:misc_RNA from 1 species